rnacentral:rRNA from 1 species
GACGAACGCUGGCGGCGUGCUUAACACAUGCAAGUCGAACGAAGUGGCGAACGGGUGAGUAACGCGUAAUCAACCUGCCCUUCAGAGGGGGACAACAGUUGGAAACGACUGCUAAUACCGCAUACUGAAGGAGGGGGUUGCGUCGGAUUAGCUAGUUGGAGGGGUAACGGCCCAGCAAGGCGAUGAUCAGUAGCCGAACUGGGAGGAUGAACGGCCACAUUGGGACUGAGACACGGCCAUUACUCCUACUGGAGGCAGCAGUGGGGAAUAUUGGACAAUGGACCAAAGUCUGAGCCAGGAAUUCUGUGUGCACGAUGAAGUUUUUCGGAAUGUAAAGUGCAUUCAGUUGGGAAGCGGUACCAACAGAAGAAGUGACGGCUAAAUACGUGCCAGCAGCCGCGGUAAUAC